AGCAGGGUGGCUCAGUGGCAAGAGCCCAGGGUUGGGAGUCAAGGGUCAUGGGUUCUAAUCCCGGCUCUGCUG
rnacentral:tRNA from 1 species